CACACACACACACACACACACCCCCUUGCUAUGCCAGGGAGCUGGCCUUUUGGUCAGGUGCUCAGAGCCCGUGUUUAGCUCCGUGUCAGAGCUGGGUUCGAGUCCCUGGUAGGGUGGCUGGCUUUGGCCUUUGUUGCACGUAGGCAUAAUCGUUUCUAUUUAUUCUUUCAAUGUGUGUUGAAGUUUUGCUGCUCUUACAUGCAAUCUCUUAUAAUGUCCGUUUCCCUGUGUUUAUGUAUGUCUUAUACUUUUGAUGUGGAAUCUCUCCUUUUUAUUUAUUGUUUUCUUUUCUUUCUUUCUGUCUUUCUUUCAUUCAUUUCUUUCUUUCAUACCGUAGAAAGGAGCAUUGUGGGACAGGGUGCAGCCUAUGCCCCAAGGCUAGUCAGUGAGAGAAAGACACCAAUGCACACUAAACACAUACAUGCACACACACACAAACACACACAAGGUUCUUUAUGCCAUUAGCUGCAGGUCGGGGUGAUGUGGUUAGAGUAACAUGGAAUCAGAGCCGGCAAUGUGCUGAAUGUGUUUGUGUCACGAGCCUUUAACUUUCACACAGGAAUAAGUGCUCCUAAUGAACAUAAUUCAGGCCAGCAGCGAGAUUCUGAAGAGUCACUUCCAUAUAGGAAAGGCUACAGUAAUCUGCCUGCUUCGAUGAAACUUUGCGCUAGAACUUUGUGGAAUGCUGCCCGUCAUGCUGUGUUCCAGGGAAUUGGCAGCGUAGCUGGUGAAAUCAGAGAAGCUACUGACGAUACCCACAUCAGCACUAGAGACAAACAGUAUUGUUCACAGUGAUGAUGAAGUAUGUCAUCCAACAGGUAGGACCAUACAUAAGCCUCACAAAUCAAACCAUAAACUCUUUCUUUUUUUUCCAAAUGUGGACAAAUGCACGGCACAUCCUCACUCUCCUAAGGGCUGCCGGAGUGUUUCUCCUAGCGUGGGCUGCACGGAGCACGCUCGGCAUGGAUGCUCAGGUAACAAAUGAGAAGGUAUCUUCAGAACCCUGCAUACGCUUUGGAGAAUGGAGGUGAUGGACAAGGGGAAAAACCCAAAGAACAGCAGGUCCCUCAAGGGCAGCGGAGAGGUUAAAUGAAUAUAUGAGUGAUUAGUUUACUGGUGCUGAGUGGAGUUCAGCUAAAGGAGCAGGACUGGAGUAAGAGAGAAGGAGCGAUGGAGAUAAAGGUAGAGAGAGAGAGAGAGAGAGAGAGAGAGAGAGGCGGAUAUGGGGAGAGAAAGAGCAGUUGAUAGGCUAAUUGAGUUUAGAGGGAGUUGUGAGGCGAGAUAGUGCUAGCUUUAUGUGUCGGAAGACAGACAAGCCCAGUGCUGCUUUGAAAGAGGGCAGCUGGGUGUCUGCACACAGCCCAGCCAAAGAAGGUAUCAUGGGAAGUGUGUGUGUGUGUGUGUGUGUGUGUACACACGUGUGUGUGCACAUAUACAGGCUGUGUGUGUGUGUGUGUGUGUGUGUGUGUGUCAGAAAAUGCGGAGGCAGUGGCACACAUCUUCAGUCUGACACUCCUCCUCUCUCUGUCUUCUAACCUCAUACGUCCUUCCUCUUUCAGUCAGUGUGUCGGAGUGUGUGCUGGGUGCUCAGGCACGAGUGUGUGAGAGAGUGUGUGUGUGUCCUGGAACUGCAGUGGUCUCAGGGCCUUGAGUUGGACAGAACCCUGUUAAAUGCCUUUGCUCAUCUGUGUGCACAGGUCCAACGCGAUGACGACAUACCUCGCUCUAAUCUCGUGAGAGCGAGACGGCUGAAGGUUCCAGAUCGUGCGACCGCGCGUGCGAAGAGCUGGCGAGAGGCGAGGAUGACGGCAGAUCUAAAACUUCACUGGCUAGUGUCUCCGCCAUCAAAUAUGUACCCACAAAUGGAAACACUGUCCGGCUAGCAGGUUCUGUGCUCAGCUCCUCGCUCGGUACCAAGGCAAGACACGGAUCCUCUCCAGCCAUCCUCGGGGCUUCGGGGAUCAGUAGUUGUCCCCGAACAGCUACUUUCUGCACAUUUCCCACCCCGCCUUCACAUGUGAGCAGGGUGUGAGCGUGCAAGGGCCAAUCAGGCGAACUAAUUAUUCAGCGAUUACAAAAACUAGGACCGGUUUUGCCGGGUUUGGUUUCAAGUGCCAGGAGAGAUUAUUAGGAGUUUCUGGAGUUUUUGGCACACCGAAACAAUAAUUGAAAAAUCCUCUUAGUUUUUUAAUUUUAUUUUUUUAAUGUAUUCUGUCGCAAGAUAAUGUCAAAUUAUUUUCCAUGUUUUUAU